rnacentral:piRNA from 1 species
UGGGCUAGUUUCGUUCUUUCAUAUGUUCUC